UACGUAGGUGGCAAGCGUUGUCCGGAAUUAUUGGGCGUAAGGCGCGCGCAGGCGGUCCUUUAAGUCUGAUGUGAAAGCCCACGGCUCAACCGUGGAAGGUCAUUGGAAACUGGGGGACUUGAGUACAGAAGAGGAAAGCGGAAUUCCACGUGUAGCGGUGAAAUGCGUAGAGAUGUGGAGGAACACCAGUGGCGAAGGCGGCUUUCUGGUCUGUAACUGACGCUGAGGCGCGAAAGCGUGGGGAGCAAACAGG
rnacentral:rRNA from 1 species